CGGCGCGGCCUCGGCCCAGCUGUCCGGCUCUCCCUCCCGUCCCCACGACCGGACCGGCGAGGCUCGGGAAUGGAUAUUCUUUAAUCUCAGUUUGUGGUAUAUGGAGGAUUGUCUGGAGGUUGGACACCAGAGGAUGAGAAAACAAACAAACAUGGGAUUUGUCUCCCCAGCCCCCAAGCAUCAAGAAACCCACUUUCAGCUCCUAGAGUCAGAACCAGAGGAAUAUAUCAAAGGGGAGAAAAAGGUGUCCUCUCUGUUGCCUGUGGAUGGGCAGAAAGUCACUUCUUGCCUCCUUACGGCUUGGCUCCCUCAGUGCACCUGUGUACCCUGACACUUUCCAGAGUGACCCAAAUCACUCACAGCUUCAAGAAUGUCUUCUGUCACACCCCAACUAUCAACCUACUGUUCUAUGAAGAAAACCAAAGGAUUGCUAAAGUUUUCAGUGUGGCAACUGACAUUUAUUGAUCUAAAAUUCUAUGGCUUUGAAUAAACCACAAAAGUACAUUUAAAGUAAGAGUGGGCUUCCCUGGUGGCGCAGUGGUUGAGAGUCCGCCUGCCGAUGCAGGGGAGAUGGGUUCGUGCCCCGGUUCGGGAAGAUCCCACAUGCCGCGGAGCCUGCGCGUCCGGAGCCUGUGCUCUGCAACGGGAGAGGCCACAA